rnacentral:rRNA from 1 species
UACAGAGGUCCCAAGCGUUGUUCGGAUUCACUGGGCGUAAAGGGUGCGUAGGUGGUGAGGUAAGUCGGAUGUGAAAGCUCCGAGCUCAACUCGGAAAUGGCAUUGGAAACUACCUUGCUAGAGGGUUUGAGGGGGGACUGGAAUACUUGGUGUAGCAGUGAAAUGCGUAGAUAUCAUGAGGAAGACCAGUGGCGAAGGCGGGUCUCUGGACAGUUCCUGACACUGAGACACGAAGGCCAGGGGAGCAAACGGG